GUUCGCAGGCUAGAUAGAGUUAUCAUAGACCUCCAGUCCUCGAUUAAUUCCCUCACUAGGCAGCUCUCUAACCACAACACCAUUAUACUAGGCCUUAGGCAGGAUCUUGCCAGUUCCAACAAGAAGAUCAAGGAAUUAGAGCGCCGCUAAGUUAUCUAGAUUAGACUUUGAGGCAAUACAUCUUAGUCAUUUAUCUUUAAAUUCGGUUUAGGUUUGCUAUUAUCAUCAGUUUACUAUUAUCAUCAGUUUGCUACUAGUCUUUUGUAAUAAUUGCCUCAAGAUUAAUAAAGAGUAUUAUUAUUAUUAUUAUUAUGUCUUGUGUGUCUCCACUUUAUUUUUGUGCAAGAAAGCAGAAAACAAGUAUGGGGGAGAUCCCUCGACAUGCCAAACACACUCCAACUACACCACUCCACCACUCAGGUACACACUCUGCACACUUUACUUCAUACAUACAUUUAUUCCGGAUUAUGCAGAUUACUGUUUCCGACAUGAUAAAAAAAAGAGGUUAAAAUAUUUCUAUUCAUGAUUAAUCUCAAUCUGUGAUAUCUCCUGCAAACUUGCAAUUAUUAUAAAAUCAUUUUAAAACCCUGUGUUACUUAAGUCAUUAUGGAAUAUGUUAUGGUAGAGUAUGAGUUUCUUAUUCUUGAUAUCAUUGUUGCUUGGAGAAUUUAUUUAAAAAUAUUCAAAAUUCUAGCUACCAUCCUCAGUGUUUUAUAUGCCUGAUAAAACUAAAAAUAUUAAUUAUGAUUAUAAAAGCUAUCUGCUCUGUAUUGAGUUUGUUCAAAAUGAGUUGGACCCUUGUUGAGAGAUUUAUCAUGCUCCUAAGAUCAAGACAUUAUUUCAGUAAGAUUCACUCUUCCGAAGUAUUAUUGCAUUAGAGGCAUGGGCUAUGAAAAAAUAGAGAUAUUUCGAGGAAAUGAAAAGGAGCAAGUGCUCGACAAACUCGCAGAAAAAAUGGACAAGUGUCCGGCAGUAGAAUUAGGGGUACCUCGGUAUCCACUUAAAAAAAAGAGAAAAAAAUGAUAGCCCAUGGUCCCUCUAAUAAGCAAUAUGCCAGCAAGAGUUGACAAAGUUUUUAAUUUCCAAAGUCUUUGAUCUAAGAGUAUGACAUUCCCCUCCUCGGAUCCCGUUUUGAUCAGGCAAUAAAUGCAAAGUAAGAAUGCUUGAGAAUUUUUGCAAAAUAAAACAGCCUCAGUGAGAUAUAUAUAAAAGAUAAUGAGUGAUCUAAGAGAACCUAUGAGGAUAAAAAGGUAUGCUAACUUUCUUUCAAAAAUAUACCAAAAACUCCAAGUGACAGGAUUGAGAAGAAAGGAUCUUUACUCUUGAUCAUAAAAUAUCCUGACUAUGGUACACAGUGGAUUUUUAACACCCUGCAAUUAUAAAGAGAAUGUUUUAAAUGUUUACAACUGAUAUUGUUCUUAACCAUCCUUUUCUCGAGGACGAGUAAAAGCCUAAGUAUGGGGGUAUUUGUUGACGGUUCUUAAGUAUCAAUUUUAAUUAUCAAAUAAACAAGAGAAAGGACCAUUAUGCAACCAUCACCUAGAAUUAGGGUUUGAUCUGACAGAAUUCCACGAGUUUUGUUGUUUAUCUGUUUCUGCAGGGGGUUAUCAGGAAAUAAGGAAGAAAGGCCCAC
rnacentral:lncRNA from 1 species